CCCUUUUCUAUUUCCAGCAGGACACACCUGGCAAUGAAUGUGACAUUCAGCACUGUCCAGGUUUCUUCCACUUGGAGGAGGCAAACUGAAGAAUGGAAGGAGGCAAUCCUCAGGCAGUGAGAUGCUAUGGAGCAAUAAUAAGGUAAGUUUGCUUGCUUGAAGGCUGCUGGUAUCUGUGAUUAGAAGGUGGCAGACGUCUCAUGAUGGACAUAACAGUAGCUUCUGGCACAAUGGGAUCAGCAAGCCCAAGGGGCUCAGUGGCUUUGGAGGGUGUAGAAGUACAGUGAUCAGUGAGACUCACGGGUCACUAUGAUUGUAGCAGAGGUAGAAACUUUAAUUCAAUGGUCUAUUGCUGGAGACCUUGAAGAUCUUUCCUUCUUUCAGAAUAAAUACUUUUCAGUGACUGAUGGGUCUCUUGAGAGAUGCACUCCACAAAGCCACAGACUGUGCAAGAAUUAAGAAUGAGGCGCUUGUAUAAAACAGAUCACAGCCACGUUAUCUCUUCUUGCUUAGGAGAGGGUCCCCAGUUAUAAUCACAUGAUUGUGAACACAACUCCAACUUGAUCUGCUGCUGUCCAGCUAAGGCUAGCUUUCAGCCUACAGAAGCUGAGGCAGCUUGCUAGAACAGCACUACAGUUACAUUUGCUUCCCCUGGCUGUUUCUAUUUGCAUUUGUUGUUUUAUUAAGAUCUAAGGUGAGGCAGAGAGUUAUUGAGAUUACCUAGCAGUGAAAGCGCCACCAUGCCAGAGGAGAGAUCUUGCCAUUUUCCAUCUAGACCAGAGGUGUCUCACUUUGCCCUGGCAGUACCUGAGUUUCAGGGCUGGUUCUGUCCUUCAAGGACACGUGUAGCCAACCUAGCAGUUUGAAAGCACACUGGUGCAAGUAGAUAAAUAGGUACCACUCUGUUUACAUGCUCUGGUUUCCAUCACGUUGCACCAUAAAUGGUUUAGUCAUGCUGGCCGCAUGACCUGGAAAUAUGUCUGUGGACAAACACUGGCUCCAUUGGCCUGGGAAGUGAAAUGAGUGCUGCAACCCCAUAGUCACUUUUGACUGGACUUAACCAUCCAGGGGUCCUUUAGCUUUUUUUACUCCUGUCCUUCAAAAGGGCCUCCUAAGUCAUUCUCUUUCUGUUUAGUAAUCAAAUGUGAACACAUACAGCUGUUCUUUUAAUCAGGUAUUUAUUAUGAAACUGUUGCAAAUUGGAUGGGUUGCGCUCCCUCUAAAGGAUCAGGGACUCAGCUUGCAGGUACUUCUGGGACUACUACUGUCAUUCAAGGCUCAGGUGACCUUGGUGGCAUUGAGUGUCUUCCAUCAGCUCUCACUGGUGGUUCAGCAGCAGCCCUAUCCAUGACAGGGAAAGUCUAACUUCUGUUGUUUAUGGUCCGGGAACAUCUAAGUUGGACUGCUGCAGUGCAUUAUACAUCAGGCUGCUUUGCAGACAGUUUACAAACUGCAAAUGGUGCAGAAUUCAGUGGCCAUUCACCAUCACAGGAAAAGUGGUACAGUCAUACCUUGGGUUACAGAUGCUUCAGGUUGCACAUUUUCGGGUUACGGAUGUGUCGAAACUCAGAAGUACUGGAACGGAUUACUUCCUGGUUUCAGUGCUUGUGCAUGCGCAGAAGCAUUAAAUCACACUUUGCGCAUGCGCAGAAGUGCCGAAUCGCAACCCGCACGUGCACAGACGCGGUGCUGCGGGUUGGGGAUGCUGCAGGUUGAGAACGUGCUUCCCGCACGGAUCACAUUCGUAACCUGAGCAUCCACUGCACUUGCCAAACUUUUCCUUGCAGCAAUAAUUUCUCUUGCAUCCAGGGGUUUCUCUCUGCUGAUAGAAGGAAUCAGUGGAGCAGGUGAUGGUGGUAAUUUGUGGUGAUUUUAGUGAUUGGUGAAUAUCCUAAUUUGGGCCAGGGGGGUGCCCCAACAAUGAAAGGAGAUUUUUGGGAGAAUGGGACUACGGGGAGGAGGGAGAAACCUUUCUCCCUCUCCUGCUGUUGAUAGAUGCGUUCUAUCAGCAGAUGGGACGCAACCUUAAGAGUAGAACUGCAAGUGAGGUUUUAAGAACUAAAGAAAUCAUCACACAAAUUGUAUUACUUUCCUGAGGAAACUUCAUUAAAAUACUAGAUCAAGCUGCUCACCACUGAACAACCUGCCCAGUUGCUAAAGAUCCUGUGGUUAGCAUGAAUGGAAAGAAGAACCAUGUUACAUUGUUACGUGCAUUGAAAAAUCAACUGGCUUUGAAGAAUUUCUGGGCAUUCUCUUACGUUCUAAUUAGAUGUUUCCAACUAACAAAUGCCACUGAAUUCCACCCAACUUUGAGCUUUCAUCUUAAAAACAUUGUCCACCAGACCUGAAAUAGGAAUCAGAAGUAUAGAAUGCUAUCCCUGUUUGAAACUCAUUGUGUUAGAUGUUUUGAAUGGUGCGAUAGAAGCACAAAGCAGUUGUAGGCGUGUGUGUGUGUGUGUGUGUGUGUGUGUGUGUGUGUUUCUCUUUCUUCCAUAUGAUAUUGCUUAUUGUUUUCUGCUCUAAAAAUAUUAAGGAGAAACCACACACACAAUCAGGAAUUGGCCACAUUGAAGAAACCCUUUUCUUUCUCUCUCUCUCUCCCCCAUGGCUUUGAAACAAACACCUCAUUUGAUUUGUGGAUCUGGAGCGAAGACAGCUGUGACAAAUUCCAGUGACAGAUUAUAAUUAAACUCCACAGAAAAGGGGCUCAGUAACAAAAAGAGAAAAGGAUCAUAGAAGCCUACUGUCAACAUAUAUUUUUCCUCAUACUGAUAUUAAAAUAACAAAAUGUACUGACAAAAGGAGCUGUGGCAAUGCCAUGUGGGCGGCAUGUUGCAUCCAAUGUGUUAAGACAGGAUUUUAACACUUUGCUCACACAUGUUGCUUGGUAUAAGAACUCACGCUUUUCUAUUGCAGUUCCCAUCAGAAAAUGACGUACACAACCUGAUUCAGCCUCGGUUUGUAUAACAAUGGGCGGGAGCAGGUUCAUGUCUCCAUUGUGCAAACGCACAUAGGCAGCUUUCCAUGAAAUUGGGAAACCAGCCUUUUCAACUGUGAUGGCCUCUGUGUACAUAUAAAGGUGUAAAGCGGGGAUGCGGGUAGCACUGUGGUCUAAACCACUGAGCCUCUUGGGCUUGCCAAUCAGAAGGUUGGCGGUUCAAAUCCGCACAAGGGGGUGAGCUCCCGCUGCUCCGUCCCAGCUCCUGACAAUCUAGCAGUUUGAAAGCAUGCCAGUGCAAGUAGAUAAAUAGGUACCGCUCUGGCAGGAAGGUAAAUGGCGUUUCCGUGCACUCUGGUUUCCGUCACGGUGUUCUGUUGCACCAGAAGCGGUUUAGUCAUGUGGCCACAUGACCCGGAAAGCUGUUUGUGGAAAAACGCCAGCUCCCUCAGUCUGCAAGCGAGGUGAGCACCACAACCCCAUAGAUGCCUUUGACUGGACUUAACCAUCCAGGGGUCCUUUACCUUUACCUUAAAAGGUAUGUUGCAGACUUGCCCACAAAAUAAUGCACAAACAGCAGAAUACAGAGCCUGUUGCCUCUUGUCGUACAAGCAAUUCUGUGAACUGGGCUACUGUUGAUGUCAGGGGUUCUUAGGCAAAAGGGUUAUUAGCUGAUGUCUUGUUAUCCUCAUCAGAAGGAAACUCCAUUCAUUACCUGGCAAGCCCAAUUACUGCAUAGUGCCCACAUCACAGAAGCAUCUGUAAACAUCAAUGUACAUGCAUCUGAAACUCCAAAUGGACCAGAGGUCUCAGACAUACUGUAUAUACAUACAUGGAUGUUUCAAGUCAUAUGCAGAAUGUUCGUUCUUUACACACCAGUAUAUUUUCAAUGUAAAGUGUGGGGCUGCUGAUUCUUGCAGAUCUUUGGGGCCUGUCCAUUUGAACUAUUAUUUUGAAGUUAAUUAAUGACAUGGUAUACUGCAGAAACCCCAAAUAGAUUGUAGUACUACCAUAAAGAUUUGGUCGAUGGCACUGACCUUGACAUUAUUGUUAAUGCACCUAACAGCUUCCAAAAUGUAAGUUGCAGCUAGCUGGAGAAUGUCAACUGCUCAUUUCUGAAUGCUAUGUCAGAGGGUGAAAUGCUGCAAUCUUUUCAAAAUGGGUCUACCAUAGAAGAUCAGCCAAUGGACGACAGGCAGACAUAUUCACAGACAGGUGGGCUUUAUUUGCAAUCCUUUGGAGCAGCAAACAUAAGGAAGAGAGUCAACAGUGCUUCUUUUCCUUAUUGCAGUGCCUUUUUAUCUGAUUCUAUCAUGUAAGGCAGGGGUCAGCAAACUUUUUCAGCAGUGGGGCAGUUCACUGUCCCUCACAACUUGUGGGGGGGCCAGACUAUAUUUUGGAAGGGGGGGAAAAGAACAAAUUCCUAUGCCCCACAAAUAACCCAGAGAUGCUUUUAAAUAAAAGCACACAUUCUACUCAUGUAAAAACACCAGGCAAGCUGCACAAAUAACCCAGAUAGAUGUAUUUUAAAAAGGAUACAUUCUACUCAUCUAAAAACAGGCUGAUUCCUGGACCGUCUGUGGGCCGGGUUUAGAAGGAGAUUGGGCUGGAUCCGGCCCCCAGGCCUUAGUUUGCCUAUCCAUGACGUAAGACAUCUUGAAUGGGUUUCCUAAAGGAAACCUCUACAUAUUUACAUAAAUAAACAUACAUAAAUACAUAAACAGAUAAAAAAGACUAAAAGGGAAACUUUUUUUUUUUUGGAACACCUCUCUCUCUUUGUGUGUGUGUGUUUGUGUGUCCUUAAAGUCACAUGGUUCCUCUCUCCCUUGCUGCUACUGUUUUGGGGAUAACCUCUAAGGCAUCAGACCUCUGUAUCUGGAUAUUAACUUGCACAAUCUGGUACCCUGACCACCCUGUGGAUCAAGGCACUUUCACCAUUGCAUUGACUUUCUUUCCUAUUCCAAGAAAAAGUCUGUCUUGAACCUGUGGUCAGACUCCCCUUCCUCAGAGGAUGAGGCUGGGGAUUGAGAUUGGGAAAGGGAAUAUCCCUCAGAUGCAGAUACUGAACCAGAAGCACUUGCCCCAAAGGCACCCAUUUUGCCAGGACCUUUCUGACCCGAAGACUCCAGCUCAGAAGACCUUGGGCAAUCGCAAUCUUUCCUGCUCAUUCAAAGUCAGUGAUUGCUAAUGCAUGCUGUGUCCCUUUAACUGAAGACAGUUCUCUCAUGGAAAGUAGAACUAGGUGCAGCACCUAUUUAAAGCUCAGUUCCAGGAUGACUGCUGCUGAAACAACAUUUGAGCUCGUCUUCUCCAGAGCUCUGCAUGGAGAAGCCUUGCUGUUGCUGCUGAACCCACUGCUCAAAAAGAACAUAACCCUAAUUUGCAUUUCCUUGCCUUUGCAGUAGCACAGGCAUGUCAAACAGGUAGAUCGUAGGCUCCCCUAAGAAAAGCUCAACAACUUUGACCUGAAUCCCAGGGCUAGAUCACUGCCAGUCCUUAUGUCUGUGAGUAGAUCACAGUCCCUUGGAAGUUGGCCACCCCGAACUAGCAGAACCAGUCAUCAAAAUCCACUGAGGAUGCAAUGGCAUGGUCCCUAGGAGAUGGACCCAGAAGCCAUUAGAUGUGGGCUGUCCUCUGAGAGGGAGAUCUCACAAGGCUCCGGCCAGCUGUUAUGGAAACCUCAACAACCCCUGCUUUACUAAUGUCAGAGCUGUAUUAUUGGUUAGUAGUGACAGAUCAGGGGAUCACUUGAGUCAGAAGGAUCUACAGCCUUCCUAUUUCCUUAACACACCCUGAACCAGGAGAUUGAGACCUAAAGGAAUGUUUCCACCCCCAUCGUUCAGUCCGGACACUGAGGUCCAGCUCCGAGGGCCUUCUGGCAGUUCCCUCACUGCGAGAAGUGAGGUUACAGGGAACCAGGCAUAGGGCCUUCUCGGUCGUGGUGCCCGCCCUGUGGAACGCCCUCCCAUCAGAUGUCAAGGAAAUAAACAACUAUCUGACUUUUGGAAGACAUCUGAAGGCAACCCUGUUUAGGGAAGUUUUUAAUGUUUGAUGUUUUAUCGUGUUUUUAAUAUUCUGUUGGCAGCCGCACAGAGUGGGCAGAGUAUAAGUAAUAAAUUAUAUUAUUCUUAUUCUGGCAUACACAUUCUCCCUCUUCUUAGAAACCAUGUAAUGAAAAUUGUAAAACGAAAAAGAAAAUCCCAGAAAGGGAAAGAAAGAGAGAAUGAAUUUUCUCCCCACUUAACCAUCCUGCUGCCUGUCUGGAAGGCUUUGUAAGACUUGGAUUCUCUGCCCCCGCCCACCCCGCCACACACAUUCCUGGUGGGAUUGCUCUGCCUGGAAGCUUUUUGCGAACAAAGUAAGUAUCCAUUUUUGUCAUGUAAUGAUUUUAUUGCCAGUGACUUUGGAGACGGUUAAAAAACACACACACUCCCUAGGAAAAAUUACCCUUAAGAUCAGCCUGGGCAACCCUAGUGGAAUUUAGUUCACCAGGAUAUAAUAGAUCACCUUCCUGGCUGAAUUAAGUGCAUUGACAGAUUCUUGGUUAUCUUUCUACCUUCCCCAAAUCUCAUGUUAACAGCUUGUAUAUGAACCUUUUAGUGAAUAACUAAAGGCUUUGAAGGUUUACAAACAAAUCUUCAUGUUCAAAUGAAUUGACCCAAAUGAAUAGCCUAUCUACAGCUUGAAGAGUCCAUCUAACAAUGCAUAUUCUAUACUUACAAACUGGCUGAAAUCUUUGCUGCUAGGCUUGGGGGCUUUGGCACAAGAGAACAGGCAACUGUUUAGCAAAGCUGAAAUCUUUGCUGAUGUACAAUUUUUAAGAAGAAACUGCAAUGCAGAUAAGAGCCUUGCCAUGUAAACUGCAGGGCACUGGGCCGUGUGUUGAUUGAGUGAGUGCAGAAAAUCUAAUUUAAACCAAGUGGGCAAUUAUAGUCCCACAAUUGGUGAUUACCUGUUCCACAUUUGUCUUUAGUGAUAUUUAUCCCUCUCUUUCCCUCUCUUAAGUUUCCAUCAUAGCACAGACUGCUUUUCUCUUUAAGAUACUUUACAGACUUAGCAUUUUACUGGUGGCAAAUAUGAACUGCUCAAUGUGGACACAAAUUGGCUCCAGCUGCCAUCAAACAAAACAGCUUCGAGAAUCAAAUCUACUACAGCAGCCCCUGUAGGAAACCAUUUAUUCUAAGGCUUCUAUUAUUUUAAUUGGAAAUUCUCUCUGUUUAUGCUGCCAAGGAUUUGAGACAGUAAAGAUUGGCUCCAAAGUGCGUUGCAUGGAAUUUUAGCAUGUUUGCUGAAUGAUUCCUCCAUCCCCUUUUUCUCUCUUUUUAAAAACCACAGUAUAUUAUAUAUAGGCUUCAGUCUUGCACACAGACUGCCUAAAUACCAUUGAAGUCAAUUGGAUUCAAACAGAAUUGCAGCUGUAAUGUGUAGCUUGUGUUUACUAGUCAAGCAGUGGAGAGAGGUGAAGCUUGUGUUUCCAGCUCUGAUCUCAAGUUCAUUUUCAUUGAUUUUUUUGAUGCGUGUCCACUUUGACCUCUUGCUUCCUUUUCCAUCUCAGUCUUCUUCACUAGCUAAGCCAUGACUUUGAACCUGGUGUGAAGAAAAGGACUAAAUGCAAAAAGAAGAGGCGGGACUUGUUGAUGCUUGAGAACAAGCACGGGGCCAGUGGAAGAUUUUCACAUCUUCCAUAUCCCUCCCCUGCAAUUUGGGUGAAUAGGUAUGAAUGGGAAACAUUGCAAGCUUCUCUGUGGAAUCACCCUAUGACACUAUGGUAACAUUUAAAGCCCUGCAUUCACAUGGGCAACACCAAACACAUACCUAUAUACAAGAAAGUCACCUUGUUGGGAUUGACCAAUCCUUUUUCUUGCCCCCUGCAGGAAUGAAUCACAAUAUAGUAUUGUUCUCGUGGGCUAUUCUUUUCCAAGGAUAUAGAUGUGCUGCUGAGAGCAGCUUGAAACAGUGUCAAAGGCUUCUAUCUUUUUGUAGAAGUGAGUGAGAAAGAGGGAAAGAGACUCAGUAAUCUCAUAUUUAAAAGGACAAAAAUCCUUAAUAUUCACGCAUUCCCCUGAAAAUUAAUCUAAUUUACAGAAAUUUCUGGGUCAAAUACUUCAGUCUAGCACUAGUUGCAAUUAUUGUGGCAUGAAGAUACUUUCUGAAUAAGAUGUUUAAUUGCCAAGGCAUAAGGCCAAAGUGAAUGAAUCUUAUUCAACUAGAGCAACUAGACUGAAAGGAAAGAGAGAGAAAACAGAGAACUGUGCUAUCAACCCACACAUAUCUGAGCAGAUACCCACUUAUACUUCUUGAGAAUGUAUUCCAUCUGCAGAACAACAGUAGGUGGCUGGAAACAGUCUUGAAAAUUCAUUUGCAGUUUAAGAAAUGUCAACAAAACUUAAGGAUUAUGUACUUUAAAUGUAACAGUCACAUAUAAGUAGUCUAACCACCAAGAGAUGCUAUUGUCAAAACACGAAAUUCAAAUUAUCAGUCUAAAUACAAUUAUUUUGAAGUAAGCGCUAUUGACCCAUAGGAACCACUCCCAAAUAAAUCUGUGCGGAGUUACAGUUGAAAAUAAGUUUUAUGCACAUUUAAAACCUGGCAACAUUUCACAAUUUUUAAUGUUCAUUUAAAAAAAACCACAAAAACCCACCACCACAAACAUCUUAAAUUUUGAUCCGUGCUGAUGACUUUCAACAAUUAAUUGAAACAUUUUUUCUUCCCUAGUAGCUCCGGAACCUAAUGUCAGCAUUUCAACCCAUUAAGGAAGUCUUUCAGAGAAAGUUAGCACAAAUUUAAACAUAUGCAAAGUCAGUUCAGAUCAUUGAGGGAGCUGGCAUUUGUCCACAGACAGCUUUCCAGGUUAUGUGGGCAGCAGGACUAAACUGCUUCUGGCACAAUUGGACACUGUGACAAGUGCCAGAGCACAUGGAAACACCAUUUACCUUCCCCCUACAGCAGUACCUAUUUACCUACUCACACUGGUGUGCUUUUGAACUGCUAGUUUGGCAGGAGCUGGGACAGAGAAACGGGAGCUCACCCCAUCAUGGGGAUUCAAACCACCGACCUUCUGAUCGGCAAGCCCAAGAGGCUCAGUGCUUUGGACCACAGCGCCACCCAUGCCCCAGUCUUUACCAGUCUGUGUGCAAGUACUUCCCAUAGCCUUCCUCAGGAAAACACUCUCUUAAUGCGGAACAAACAGCAUUUUGAGUUUUCUGCAGAAUUGUUUCCAAUGGGUUUUCAUGGGGAAAGUGCUGGAGGUAAAAAAUAAUAAUAGCAGCACUCUGACACGGAGCUUUAAAGCAUGAACCUGUUUCUAGAAAUGCGGCACACAAGGAAGUUCCGAUGAGCCCUUAAUUUAUGGCAGAUCCAGCAAUGUGUACUUGAAACUACUCUUCUACCCAUCUCACAAUGACCUCUAUGUUUUAAACUAGACUUUUUAUUAUGUAUUUUACAACUAAAGGAGAUGUAAGAGGGGCACAUAGAGGGGAAAAGUUAAGGCUCUGCUUAUAGUCCCAUCAUUUGAAUUGAUAGGACACAAAGAGAAAGGAAAUUAAUCGUAGAAAUUGUGUCUUAUUUUACGAAAGAAAGAAAGCUGGGGAGAUGAAGACAGAAACUGAUUGGUACAGAAGUGUGAUUCCAUUGGAUCCAAAGUGUUGGAUAUGGGUGCAUAUAUUUUUUUUUAAAAAAAGGUUUUCUUUUGUAAAGUACACACAUUGUCUCUUUUUCAGGUUGAGUUUUCUACAGAUCAUUUAUAUUUGUUGCGAGACAUUGGUGUUGUAUGUAAUAUAAGAUUGGGAAGAGAAAAAGGGUGGUGGGUGGUGGCAAAUAAUAUAAGUUCUUCUACUUAAUUUGUGUGGGAUUUUUUGGUGUCAGUGUCAACUGGAUAGGUUUGCUUUUUAUUUGCUUGUUACAGGACCUUGGUAGUGAGAGGGAUUGGGAGGGCAGUGUGUGGUUGGUUGUCUGUGGCUGGUUGCAGUGUGGUUUCUUUGCAAUUGUGAUGGGAGGAAGGCUUAGAAAGCCAAAAGUAUUUGGAUGAUGUCGGUGGGUUCUUGUUGUCGUCUUGUUGGGCUGUGUAUGUGAUAAAGGGGAGCCAUACUGGGGUGAAGGCGUCCUCUUCUAUUUGUCCCUGUAUCAGUUUGUUUGCUCGCUUUCAGGUCGAGGGAGCCGGCGUUUGUCCACAGACAACUUUCUGGGUCAUGUGGCCAGCAUGACUAAACUGCUUCUGGUGCAAUGGAACACCGUGACGGAAACCAGAGUGCACAGAAACACCAUUUACCUUCCUGUUGCAGUGUUACUUAUUUAUCUACUUGCACUGGCGUGUUUUCGAACUGCUUGAUUGGCAGGAGCUGGAACAGAGCAACCAGAGCUCAUCUCAUCAUGGGGAUUCGAACCGCCAAACAUCUGAUUGGCAAACCCAAGAGACUCAGUAGUUUAGACCACAGCAUCAUAUUUUUUGUAUUGUUCUAUGGAGUAUUGUUUAGUUAAGCUGUUGAAUUAGUUUAAGGCAUUUGUAUUGUUUUAUAUAAUGUUGCAGGACGCCGGUGGCGCUGUGUGUUAAACCACAGAGCCUAGGACUUGCCGAUCAGAAGGUCGGUGGUUCAAAUCCCCGCAAAUUCCUAUAACAGGGUGAGCUCCCAUUGCUUGGUCCCUGCUCCUGCCAACCUAGCAGUUCAAAAGCACAUCAAAGUGCAAGUAGAUAAAUAGGUACCCCUCCAGCGGGAAGGUAAAUGGCAUUUCCAUGCACUGCUCUGGCUCACCAGAAGUGGCUUAGUCAUGCUGGCCACAUGACCCGGAAGCUGUAUGCCGGCUCCCUCAGCCAACAAAGCGAGAUGAGCACCACAACCCCAGAGUCGGUCACAGCUGGACCUAAUGGUCGGGAGUCCCCUUACCUUUACUAUAUAAUGUUGCAUAUUGUUUUUUAUUUUUUGUUUUUACUUAUGGUUAUUUCUAAUCAUUUCUACCAUGUUUUUUGAACUGUUGCUGUUGAUUUGAUAUGUUAUGAGCCUCUACAGGGAUGAUUUGAUGGGAAGGAGAUGCGGAAGGCAUCAGACCCUGCAACACUCAGACUCCAUUUGGCUCAUAAUUUGGCUCAGGAAAUGUAGAAGCUACUGCCUCCCAUAACUCAGGAGGAGCUUGCUGAGUCCUAAUCAAAAGACUACCUUGAUCUAUUGCUUUUGCAGUUGCCAAUUUUAGCUAUUAUUUCUCUCGUCUUAUUAUUUUAGGAGGAGCACUUCUUUCGAAUGGAUCAAGACAUGCAUAUGUAUUACCUGAAAGGUGAAGCAGGGAUAACUGCAGUGCCUUAAGGGUUAGUCAUAAAAAUGACAAAGCAGAAGGCGAAAAUACCAAAGAUGGAAUUCUUACUUAUCUAUGUACCAUGAUGGUAUCUCUGCUGUUUCCAGUAGGCACAAAGAAAGAACAUCGUGUACCUAGACAAGGGAGGUUGUUAAGGGCGC